rnacentral:RNase_P_RNA from 2 species
CAAGUAAACCGGGUGACCGCCCCGAUAAGCCCCGAUUCUUUCGGGACAAAUCGGGGAGGAAAGUCCGAGCUCCGCCGGGCAGGAUGCUGGGUAACACCCAGGAGGGGCGACCCUACGGAAAGUGCCACAGAAACAUACCGCCACGGCUUUUGUCGGGGUAAGGGUGAAAUGGCGAGGUAAGAGCUCACCGGCGACCGGGUGACCGGUCGGCUGUGCAAACCCCAUCCGGAGCAAGACCAAAUAGAGGGACACAGGGACGCCCGGCCCGUUCCCCGGGUUGGUCGCUCGACCCCGAUGGCAACAUCGGGGCUAGAUAGAUGGUCACCAUCCCGAUAAGCGUAAGCGAAUCGGGAUACAGAACUCGGCUUACAGGUUUACCUGGCCC